GUAACAGUCUGAAGUAUGCAACACAUAGACAAAAGACAUCUGUCCUUAGAGUGCACUGUUGUCUUCAAGUGGUUGUCUUCUCCUACGUGGAUGGAAUUCAUUGCAGAUAACUCAAGGCAACAAAAAUUAGUCUUGUGGUUAGCCUGGGUUUUAGAUGACAGAGUAACAACUUGUUCAGUGUUCUUACAGAUAUCAUCACUUGUUAUUUAUUUCCAUUGACUACAAAGGAUGGAAAUACUGUUGUAGUCUUACAUAACUACUAAUUUAAAUGCUUAGGUAAAAUGGAUUCUGUCUGAGAUGCUUGGCUACUUUGGUGCACAAUUUAUGCCUCUGCGUAAGACACAGAUUUCCCUUUAACUGUCAGGCCCUGUAAUUAAUGAACAGACACUUCUGUUGAAGAUUUGAUGUAGCAAGAUUCUAUUAGUACAUAGGUCUCUCCAGUCAAGGCCUCCUAUUUAUUUCCAUGGAAAGUACCACAGAUACAAAGAACACAAUAAUGCUAUUUGAUAGAGCAAAUUCUCUUCUGCAAAACACUAUUUUUCAACAAUGGUGGUGACUAUAACUAUGCAGUUUUGCCAGCGAUGAACAAGAGUCUGCAUGCCACGCCCUUAAAAAUCUGCACCAGAUGAGGUGAUCCACUGGUGAUCCACUGUCGCCACUGCUGAAACACACUUCCUACUGCUUCACUGAGCUCACAUCCUCCGUUUGGUCUCCAUAAACAUUCAGCAAGCAUCAACAAGCGUGUGCCGUAUUUUCCUCAUGGAGGAAUUCAAUGACAUAUCUUUGCUUCAUGUGCAUUUCCAUGUCAGACAUUAUUUUGUCUCACUGCCCCUCUGCUGCCAUCUGUCACAUAGCAGCAAGAUGUAAUGGAAUAUUACAGAAUCAUAGAAUGGCUUAGGUUGGAGCGGACCCUGAAGAUCAUCUACUUCCUGCCCCUGGGUGCCUCCAGAGAUGGGGUGUCCACAACCUCUCUGGACAUCCAGUUCCAGCAUCUGAGUAAAAACUUUCUUCCUAACAUCUAGCCUGAAUCUCUCCUCUUUUAGUUUUAAACCAUUUCCCCUUGCCCUGUCACUAUCAAACUAUGUAAAAAGUAGCCCCUCAGUCCCCCUCCUGCUUGUAAGCUUACUUCAAGUACUGGAAGGCUGCAAUGAGGUCUCCCUGGAGCCUUCUCUUCUCCAAGCUAAACAUGCUCAAAUCCCUCAACCUUUCUUCAUAGGAGAGGUACUCUAGCCCUUUGGUCAUCUUUGCAUCUUUGCAGCCUUCAAUAUUAGCAGGAAGGUUCAACCUUUACUGCUGUACCACCACCACUGUGCCAACUCUUGCUUUUCUUUUUACUUGUUUGUUGAUACCGUGGCUGCAGUUCUUCCUCUGCCCUAAGGGAGGGAAACAGAAAAAGUGGAGUGACAGGGGAAUAGGAAAGAAAGAAAUUUAUAUGAGAAAAUAUGAGACAGAUGGACAAGUAAGAGAAGGAAAAAGCAGGGACAUAAAUUUUGAGGAAAGAGAAAGGAAAGGUUUUAUAGAAAGCAUUAGAAUAUAGAACACAUUAACAGAUGGACAGGGAACUAGGGAGAUGGACUGUUUACUGUCAGUGUUAACUGAGAAAAGUUUGAUUUACCAUAAAGAGUGACGCUUUAUUUUUUCCAACUGGAUGUUGGAUUCUUUUGUAGCCUCACUGUUUACAGAAAUGGAAAUUUGAAAACAUGGCCCAUUACAGGCAUCCAUAAAAGUAUUUAGAUUUUCCAGAAAUUCAGAGUGGAGGUUCCAAAUGAUGUUUCUUUAUUUUCAGAGCCUUGGCUGAGCUGGCAGAAGAGAUACUUUUUAAUUUGGGCUGUUUUCUAGGUGGUCCAAAGACUCUACCGCCUCACUGGAGCUGAAAGACUCAUCUGUUUGUGAUGCCCAGGCUUCCCUGCGGAGUCCUCACCAUAGUGUUAUAUCACCACUCCUUUGGUAUCGUGGUUGUUUGCAUAACAGGGACAACAAGAACGAGAAGUGGAGUAAGGGAUCUCUAUAGGAGACUCCUCUACUGAUCUUCAUGAAGCUAAGCAGCUACAGUGGUGACAACAUGCAGUCCUGACAGCUUCCAUCCAGCAUGUGCUUUGGGUAGAUCAGAAACAUUCUGAAUUGUGCUUCCACUAACGAUCAUUGACAGAUAGAAAUUAAUUAAUAGCGGAGCUCGGGCUUUCCAGUUAUGCAGUUGGUGCCAAUUCCUCACAAUCAACAACCAGGAAAUGGACAUCAUUAAUAGAUUAAUCGCAUGUGCUGGAAAACAGAAAGCCAGCUGACUAUGCCCCUGUGAGAAGCAUAGGCAGUGUUUGGCUCGCAGUGGUUUCACUGAGGAAGAGGCAGGAAGUGUAGCUUGGGAGAGAUGCCCAGUAUUAUGGAUUAAUUAACAGUCUGUAUUCCUUCUCCCUAUGGACUUAAUGGACCUAUACUGUCUUCUGCCUAUGGCAGACAGCAGAAAGAGAUGAGACUCUCGAGGGGAUGAUUCAUCCUCUUCAAUGAUAAGUAUCUGACACAGAGAUGUGCCUGGAAAGAAAAUUGGAAGAUGCGGCAGGUGUGUUUCCAGCAAUUAAGAGGAAUUCAUCCUCUCCAUUUAUAGCGGUAUGAGGAGGAAGCAGGGGAAAAAAAAAAAAAGAUCUAAAUGCUGACAAAUAAUAUACUGAUGUUUUUCUUUGCCUGAAUGGAAAUUCUGGGCUCAGUUGUGCAAAGGAAAGAUUCUGGGACCUCCAUGAGCCCCUUCUGCAGAUUUCACCUGAGCAACUUUAUCAGUAACACGAUGAUCCUCUGGGCAGGAUUAAUUUCUGGACUACAGCAUCUGACCUGAGAUGACUCUAUGUGGGCUGUGUAACUUACUGUGCAGUCUGUGGGAGUUUGGUCAGCUUGGGAGGGACUCAGCUGGCCAGCAGUCUGCUUUGGAGCCAGAAGAAGUACUCUUGUAUUGAGUGGAUCUCUGCUCACUAAAGUGGGAGUUCAGCCCUCUAAUGUGCCUGUAAAUACCUAUACUUGGAGUUGGACGAGUUAAUUCUGUACUGAAUCUUUCUCUCUUAGGCUAUGCUAUUCUCCUCACACAAAUAGUAAAAACUACCUUUUCCUUUUCUUCAUUACUGAGCUUUUUUUACUGGAAGGGUUUGCUUUCUUGAAUGGUAAUAAACAUGCAAAGCUAUAGCAAUGUGAGUUCACAGUGUACCAGCUGUGAAGCAUUAAACCCACAUGGACACUGAAUUUUACUUCACUGUAUGAUGAAGUAAACUGUAGCUCAGUAAGACACCUGAAUGCCUUCUGUUUUAAAGGCAAAUUAGGAAUGUGCACUGGCAGACAGUUUGCCUAAUUUGAGCACAUCACUAGUCCUAGUUCUUAGGAUCUCAGUGAAGGUCUUCUGAACCAAAUAUCUUCAGAUGCCUCCCUGACUGAUGCCAAGAAAGAGAAGUAACUGUCCUCCAGAGAAAGACCCAACCAUACUUGGUUGCUUCUCUUUUAUAUACAGGACUUAAGUUGGUGAGAAGAGAAGGCUUGGGGGAGACCUCAUUGCAGCCUUCCAGUACUUGAAGGGAGCAUAUAAACAGGAAGGGGAACUGUGGGACAAAGAAAGACAUUAUGACAAAAGACCUGGCAAAUGAGUAAACAAGCUUGGUAGCUACUUGUGCCACGUGUAAACAUGCACGAGGCUCCUGGUUGGUAAAUGUGACCAAGGGGUUGUUGCGCAAGUAUAAAAGGCUGUAAGCACAUACAAUAAAGGUCUUCGUUCUGCACCAGCAAUGGAGUCCAUGACUCUCCUGUCACAAAUGAUGCCCAAACAAUGACCCUAUAUCAGGGUCAGCCUCAGGAGAUAAUCAGCUAUCAAGCUGACCGGUGGCAAGGAAUUAGCGCUGCUGAAAGGAAGUUGGACCCAAAAGUACUCAGUACAUGAUGUGGAUGGACUUUUGGAGAGAAUCUGCACAACAAAAGGCACUGGAGUGGAAGCUAUUGGAGCUCAGCAACUUGGAGCAGAGCAUGCAGACCCUAAGCCUAUGGCUCAUUCACCACUGCAAGAGAAGAAGGAUCAAACCUCCAGGCUUGGUGACGGUCAGUGCGUGGGAGCUGGAGCUGCAGAAAGCUGCUGCUGAGACAUAUGCUGGUGUUUGGACUCUCACUCAUUCCAGCUGUUGGCAUUGUUGCAAUGUAUUUUUCUGAACCUUUUAGCUGUUGUUGCAGUUGUUCAGUGCUCCAGAAAAUUCUAAGAUAGGUCUAACAACAUUGAAAGUAUGUUUGAAUGUUGUGCUAUGUCUGCAUUCUAAAUUAGAAAACAGUAUUUGCUAUAAAAUGAUGUGCAUUCAUGUGCAGUAGAUUGGCAAUGUAGGAAGUUUUCCCAUAAUUGGUUGUAUAAUCCAACUUGACUGGCUGAAUAUCUUCUGGUAUUUAAGAAUGUAAUGUGUAUAUUUACAACUGUAUGUCUUACCUGCACCUGCCUGGCUUUCAUAAUUCUGGUUCUGAAUAUGUAAUUUCAGUGAUUUAAAUAUAUAUAUAUGUAGUUCCCUAUUAAAAACUAAAAAUAAAGGCGGCAUUUAUGACCCCUGAGGAAAGAAUAGCUAAAGCAUGCUAUGUUCUUAAUUUUUUAAAUUGUUGGACACAGAUAACGGGGGGG
ensembl:lncRNA